UACGUAGGGUGCAAGCGUUGUCCGGAAUUAUUGGGCGUGAAGAGCUCGUAGGCGGCUUGUCGCGUCGGCUGUGAAAACCUGGGGCUCAACCCCGGGCCUGCAGCCGAUACGGGCAAGCUAGAAUUCGGUAGGGGAGACUGGAAUUCCUGGUGUAGCGGUGAAAUGCGCAGAUAUCAGGAGGAACACCGGUGGCGAAGGCGGGUCUCUGGGCCGAUAUUGACGCUGAGGAGCGAAAGCGUGGGGAGCGAACAGG
rnacentral:rRNA from 1 species